rnacentral:rRNA from 1 species
GAUGAACGCUGGCGGCGUGCCUAAUACAUGCAAGUCGAGCGAACGGACGAGAAGCUUGCUUUUCUGAUGUUAGCGGCGGACGGGUGAGUAACACGUGGAUAACCUCCCUAUAAGACUGGGAUAACUUCGGGAAACCGGAGCUAAUACCGGAUAAUAUUUUGAACCGCAUGGUUCAAAAGUGAAAGACGGUCUUGCUGUCACUUAUAGAUGGAUCCGCGCUGCAUUAGCUAGUUGGUAAGGUAACGGCUUACCAAGGCAACGAUGCAUAGCCGACCUGAGAGGGUGAUCGGCCACACGGGAACUGAGACACGGUCCAGACUCCUACGGGAGGCAGCAGUAGGGAAUCUUCCGCAAUGGGCGAAAGCCUGACGGAGCAACGCCGCGUGAGUGAUGAAGGUCUUCGGAUCGUAAAACUCUGUUAUUAGGGAAGAACAUAUGUGUAAGUAACUGUGCACAUCUUGACGGUACCUAAUCAGAAAGCCACGGCUAACUACGUG